CCGGCACGCGCAGCCGCGUCGCUGAGGAGGAGCCGCCACCCGGCGGGGAGAGCAGUGUCCUUGGAAAGGCCAGAGAAGGAGAUGAAGGUGAUGUCGAGGACUGCGCUACUUCACCGUGUAUAGAAGAUACAGGCACGUCACAGCUGCAUUUUGGAGCUUUAGAGCUCUCGCAGAGCCAGGAUUUUGAGAGUGACUUUGUGCCCAAUGAAGGAGAUGCUGGGCAUCAGUUUCAGCCUGGAGAUGCUGUCCCUUCUUCUUUCAGACUUGUGAAGAAUGAUACUAAAGAUGGUAUGUGAAAAUGAGUUUAGAUACCCUUUUGUUGGUCUGUCAGUUCUCUGCUUUCUUUGACUUGU
rnacentral:lncRNA from 1 species